UAAUGAAUGGAACUGACUUUG
rnacentral:piRNA from 1 species